rnacentral:lncRNA from 1 species
AGACACCAGAUCUUACUCUCUCUUUAUUAGUUCUGACAAAGGGAAAAGUCCAUGUGAGAACACCACAGCAAGAAGUCAACAAGCCACAAGCUAGGAAGAGUUCCCUGACCAGGAACAGAAUCAGCGGCAUCUUGAUUGGGAUGCCUAUCCUUCAGAACAACCUCUCACAAAUCACCUUCACAUGCAGGAUUUCAACUAAGCUUGUCAGAAAUUUUCCAAGAAACUUGAGGUUCAAAAUAGUGGAGGCUCCCACCUCCACUGUCCCACCCACUUUAUUGCACAGAUGGUCAUAAGAAAACUAAUUGGAAUUAUGAAGCACACUUUACUGAAGUUUUAUGGACAACAACC